rnacentral:misc_RNA from 1 species
UUAAGUUCAGCGGGUAGUCCUACCUGAUUUGAGGUCAAGAUGGUCAAUACAAGUAAGGUUUAGAAAGCAGCAUUCCAGCAGAUGUCUAGGAUGUAAAUAAUUAUCACAACCUGUAGACAGUUCCACAAAGGCACCACUAAUCAAUUUCAGGGGAGCAGACUAUACAAAAGCCCACACCACCAAAUCCAAGCCACACUAAG